rnacentral:rRNA from 1 species
CCCCUAGAUGUUCUGGGCCGCACGCGUGCUACACUGACCAGUGCAACAAGCAUCCGUCCUUGGCCGACAGGCCCGGGCAAUCUUUGAACGCUGGUCGUGAUGGGGAUAGACUUUUGCAAUUUUUGGUCUUCAACGAGGAAUUCCUAGUAAACGCAAGUCAUCAACUUGCAUUGAUUACGUCCCUGCCCUUUGUACACACCGCCCGUCGCAGCUACUGAUUGAAUAUAUCGGUGAAAUAUUGGGACCGUGAUGAACGAAGCUUCAUUGCUUCUAUCAUUAUGGGAACUUUCUUAAACCUAUCUAUUUAGAAGAAGCUGAAGUCGUANCA